UCUAAUAUGGCAGAAAUAUAUGCAAAGGAUUUAAACCCCUUCAAUAAAGGCUAUCUUUUUUUAGAA
rnacentral:tRNA from 1 species